UACGAAGGGGGCUAGCGUUGCUCGGAAUCACUGGGCGUAAAGCGCACGUAGGCGGCUUUCUAAGUCAGGGGUGAAAUCCUGGAGCUCAACUCCAGAACUGCCUUUGAUACUGGAGAGCUUGAGUCCGGGAGAGGUGAGUGGAACUCCGAGUGUAGAGGUGAAAUUCGUAGAUAUUCGGAAGAACACCAGUGGCGAAGGCGGCUCACUGGCUCGUAUCUGACGCUCAGGCGCGACAGCGUGGGGAUCAAACAGG
rnacentral:rRNA from 1 species